CCUACCUCAAGAUGGUGGACAUCAAGAUGUACUCUAGCUACGAGGACCUCUCCAUGGCGCUUGAGAAGAUGUUCAGCUGCUUCAUCACUGAUCAUGUUUCCUUCAACACUACAAGGAACUGGUGAAAAUUGGACAAUGAUGAAGACCAUUUGUGUCACUGAAUAUCUAAAUUACGAAGGAGACUAUAUGCCGCUGCAACCUCUUGAAGACGAGAAUGACACUGUUAUCAGUUUCUUAUAUCCUCUAGAACCCCCGGUGAAGCAGGGUAGAACAAGAAGAGGCAGGUUUCAAUC